GAUGAACGCUGGCGGCGUGCCUAAUACAUGCAAGUCGAGCGAACAGACGAGGAGCUUGCUCCUCUGACGUUAGCGGCGGACGGGUGAGUAACACGUGGAUAACCUACCUAUAAGACUGGGAUAACUUCGGGAAACCGGAGCUAAUACCGGAUAAUAUAUUGAACCGCAUGGUUCAAUAGUGAAAGACGGUUUUGCUGUCACUUAUAGAUGGAUCCGCGCCGCAUUAGCUAGUUGGUAAGGUAACGGCUUACCAAGGCAACGAUGCGUAGCCGACCUGAGAGGGUGAUCGGCCACACUGGAACUGAGGCACGGUCCAGACUCCUACGGGAGGCAGCAGUAGGGAAUCUUCCGCAAUGGGCGAAAGCCUGACGGAACAACGCCGCGUGAGUGAUGAAGGUCUUCGGAUCGGAAAACUCUGUUAUUAGGGAAGAACAAAUGUGUAAGUAACUAUGCACGUCUUGACGGUACCUGAUCAGAAAGCCACGGCUAACUACGUG
rnacentral:rRNA from 1 species